GAGGGAAAGGGUCUGCACCACAGGGCAGUGGGCGCAGCACUGAGCUUUGCGGAGUGCAAGGAGUGUUUGGACAGUGCUGUCAGACAUAUGAUCUGAUUUUUAUGUGGUCCUGUGUGGAUCAGGAGUUGGACUCUGUGACCAUUAUGGGUCCCUUCCAGUUCAGCGUAUUCUAUGAUUCUCUGACUCUAUGUCACAGUGGUGUUAGCAGUGAGAGAGAGGCACAGAGCUGGUGUUGGUGGGGCCCUCGUGGUUAUCAGGAACAAAUGGCUCUGUUGGCUCCAACAAAGCACUGCUUUGUGCAGCUGCUGCUCUGCAAUAUCGGGGCCUUCAUGGAGCAGUGGAGAUCUGUUGUAGGCAUGCACACAUCCCAGCACCUCUGGUUUAAUGGCGGAGGGCUGAGCUUCUGCAGCUCUGACUAUGGCAAUGAAAUGACGGGUGCCUGGAGCGAGCUGUGUGGCUGUGCUGCCAUGGCACAAACUGCUCUGUUCUCUGGGACGGCCUUUUACUUUUGGCUGGAGGAGGAACCUCGGGUGGCUUCUGCUAAAACAAAUGCUGCUUUGUUUUUUGUUUACUUCAACAGAGGUAUUCACAGUGAUGGUUUAUAAGCCGGGACUGCAAUGAUCGCACCCCUUUGUGCCAGGCACAGUCUCAGCUGCUGACACACCCUGACGGCCGCCCCAGGCUGACUAGGAGCCGGCUCCUUCCCUGUGCAGUCCCACAACAGGGAGGAUCGGACAAAUUUACAUCCCCCUUGGCCCUCUUCUCCCUCCCACUGUGGGCCAAACGCAGUGCAGAAGACCUGGGAAGCAGCCCAAGUUCAAGCACUGACAUUCAGGUCUUCAGUUCCUUGUUUUCCUGUUCCAUAAGUGGAGAGUCGGUCUCUGAUGUUUCACUUUUGGACAUGUUUUCAGCAUUUGACAACUGCUUUGGUAACCUUUAGACAUACAUUCAGGUAUGCACAGCAUGCACAGACUCUCAUUUCCGUAUCACCAUUGCAGCAGCUGGCGAAGCUCGCUGCCCUCAUACUUAUUCCAGCAAAGAAAACUUCCUCACUUUCGCUGCUACCACUGAACAGGGAAAUAUGAAGGGCCUUACAGCUACAAAGCACUUUUUUCUCCCUUUAUGUGCUGUUUUCUUGCCGAGUUUGCAACACUGUUUUUUGCUUCUUGCAACUCAGAAUUCCUGCUCAGGUGGACACUGCUCUGAUCUACUUCUAUUACCCAUCAUCCACUCACACCAUCUCUUGUGUAUUCAGAUUCCACUGACAAUUGGGGUAGGACUCUGUCAUAGUUUUUGCUGGAGUCUCUGUUAGUUGUUAUUGCUGUUGUUGUUUUUAAACAGUAUUUUCCAAGUAAAACCCACAUACAGACUGACCCACCUUCCCUGUGAAAUCCACCCUGGUUCUGUACAUCAGUGCUGAACUUGUAUCACCUUUCCAGGCCUUUGGCUUCCCAAAGCACCCAAAGGUCAGGGUGAGAUUUCUGUCUCCUUUGGGCACCUCACAAAUAUUUCACUAUUGCUUGUGUGAAGUCGGUGAACCUGCAGGCACUCUGAGUAUAAACACUUAUUUCUUCAUCACUGGUGCUAUUGGGCAUAGCACACCGCACACACAGCCACGAGGGUAAGAUUCAGGUAUUUAAUGUUGGACUUGUAAAUCCAUGCUGGGAUUUAUGAUGCAUGGCCCAUUUUUCAAGGGGAGAGCAGUCUCACCCACUGCUGCCACAAGGCAGAAUAUGGUGCAGCUGUGCACAGAAGGGCUCAGGGUGCACAGGGUGGCUCACAGCAGCCCGCUCUGGUCACAGAGUGCCUGCUGCUCACUGUCAAGAACCACCUUUUAUUUUGCCCUCUGCAAUGAUGUGCACAUACUGGAGCAAACACAGCUGACAGACUUCAGCUCCUCUCCACAGGACCACAAACCAUUUCUGGGUGAGCACAGCCUCUAUCACCACUGCCAACAAUGAGGCCUGAGGACAUCACAGCCAACAGCGUGAGGUCUGUAGCAGCAGAAUUCCUUCUUCCCUCCAGCCAGCAACUGUGCUGCAGCAAAUCAGUGCCUCACUCCACGGUGGGACCGAGCAGCCCACAACUCCCACAUCCUCAGCACAGCAACCCGCCCUGGGGCUUUGGCAGCACUUCCACAGGUGCUUUAAGGGAUUUAAUUUAGGGAGAACGUGGAUUCAUUGUUUUCCCCCAGGCUCUUCAGCAUGAGCCUUGGCCCUGGAAGGCAGACCGCAUUCCCACAGGUUGUAGUGCCCAGCGCCUUCCCUUUGGGUCAUGCCAAGUAGCCACUGUGGAUCUGGGGUCCAGGCCUUGCUUUACCUGCUGAGGGAGUGAAAGACCCCUUGAGACCACCACAAAGGAGCAUGAGAGCAGAGGGGAGAUUUGACCAAGGAGAUCUCCAACAGGCAGCGGACUGAGGUAUGGAAAAUGUGAAAAGACGGGAAGACUAUUUCUCUUGUCACGGCAGCCCCAUCUAGACUGGGAACAAACACAGACAGAAAGGGCGUUCCCUCAAGAACUGUAAUUGAAUGAGACGUAAAUCACGGCUCACCAAAGUGAGUUAGGUUUGGCUGAUGUACAGAGCUGGGAAGUGAAAGUCACUGGCUGGGUGCCCAAGGGAGGGGAGGAGAUUGGGCACAAGAUAGGCAGCGAAGGGGUGCAGACGGAUAGAAAUGUGAGCAAGUCAGUGCCAACACAACACAUCGCCCUGGGCCCUACUUCUGCCAUGCCAGCAUUGUGAGGUGUGUGGCAGAACUGAAUACACAGCCUGGAACGAAGAGAAGGAGAGACCAGGACCACCGUUCAGUUAUAAGCUUUUUCUUUUUUAGAAUUGAAGCUUACACAGUUAUCUAUGCCCACUAUAUUCAUAAUUACAUUUUAAUAUCUGCAUACAAAAGCUAUGUAAAAAUUAUUUUCUUCCCCCAAAUAUACAAAUUUUCUCUUUAGAUAGUUUAAAACAUUUGUGAUCACAGAUUUUUAAUAUAUUUUAGGCUGAAAAAAUAUUACCAAUCUAGCAUAACUCUUAACACUGCUUGCAAAAAAAUACAUCAUCCAAGGUAAAUUUUUUUGUACUGUACUGCGUGAUGUUUGCCUUACCCUCAGGGCACGAAACCGGUAUAAAAAAUAAUGAACCAAAUAAGCAAAACCCACAAACCUCACAGACAAAGUAAGAAGUCCUCCCACCUAACUUGAUAAAAACAACCAACCAACCAACCCAAGCCACCCUUCUCUUAAAAAAAUAAAAGCCUGAAUAACUAAUGUGAUGUAUUUGUGAGCAAACUCAAACUGAAGAGUGCUAAGGAAGUAGGAAAAGAGCAAAAGAAAUGACAGUAUGUCAGCUAGUUCAUGCCCUGAUACUAUCUCCACCAACAUUAAAUGUGUAAUUAAAUAAAGUGUCCUUUAAUGUUUUACAUUGUGCUCAGUAAUUUACAUGAACUUAAUCUACACCCGGGUGCUGAUGUAGAUUUACAUUUGAUUGUCUUGUGCAUAAACAAGGUCAGCUUUUGAAGAAGGUAAACUGUGCAAUGGACGGUCACAAACAACUCAUUACCUGCACAAUAUUGCUUUUUGAAGGCGACAUCAGUCAAUGUGGAUACACACAAACAAUGCAUACUCUUUGCAUUUGCUAACAUCUAUACGACACACUAAAACUUCGUGGUAAGGCCAAACCUUUUUAUUUUUCUAUUUUUUUUGUUUGUUUUUAAUUUUAAAGCAAAAAUAUACCGUAGUAAAAAAAUGUGCUCACAUUGUUUUUGAGUCCUUAAGUGGAAAAUAAACCUCUAUCACACUAGAAUAAAAUUUCUCUCUAUAAAAUUUAAAUACGGAUCACUUCGUCGCUCUAUCAAAAGGAAACGUCUGGCAAUCAUUUCCAGAUGAUCACAACAAGACAUGUCAAGAGGUCCUACUGCCUCUUCCUUGGAGAAAA